rnacentral:rRNA from 1 species
CGCUGGCGGCGUGCCUAACACAUGCAAGUCGCACGAGAAAGGGUAGCAAUACCUGAGNAAAGUGGCGCACGGGUGAGUAACACGUGAAUAAUCUACCUCCGAGUGGGGAAUAACUGAGAGAAAUCUUAGCUAAUACCGCAUAACACUUACGAGUCAAAGCAGCAAUGCGCUUGGAGAGGAGUUCGCGGCCGAUUAGUUAGUUGGCGGGGUAAUGGCCCACCAAGACGAUGAUCGGUAUCCGGCCUGAGAGGGCGCACGGACACACUGGAACUGAAACACGGUCCAGACUCCUACGGGAGGCAGCAGUGGGGAAUUUUGCGCAAUGGGGGAAACCCUGACGCAGCAACGCCGCGUGGAGGAUGAAGUAUCUUGGUACGUAAACUCCUUUCGAUGGGGAAGAUUAUGACGGUACCCAUAGAAGAAGCCCCGGCUAACUUCGUGCCAGCAGCCGCGGUAAUACGAGGGGGGCAAGCGUUGUUCGGAUUUAUUGGGCGUAAAGGGUGCGUAGGCGGUUUGGCAAGUCUUGUGUGAAAUCUUUGGGCUCAACCCAAAGCCUGCACGAGAAACUGCCGGGCUUGAGUAUGGGAGAGGUGAGUGGAAUUUCCGGUGUAGCGGUGAAAUGCGUAGAUAUCGGAAGGAA